rnacentral:rRNA from 1 species
UACGAAGGGUGCAAGCGUUACUCGGAAUUACUGGGCGUAAAGCGUGCGUAGGUGGUUUGUUAAGUCUGUUGUGAAAGCCCUGGGCUCAACCCAGGAAGUGCGUACGAAACUGGCGAGCUUGAGUAUGGAAGAGGGUCGCGGAAUUCCCGGUGUAGAGGUGAAAUUCGUAGAUAUCGGGAGGAACACCAGUGGCGAAGGCGGCGACCUGGGCCAAUACUGACGCUGAGGUGCGAAAGCGUGGGGAGCAAACAGG